rnacentral:rRNA from 1 species
UACGGAGGAUGCGAGCGUUAUCCGGAUUUAUUGGGUUUAAAGGGUGCGUAGGCGGACGGUCAAGUCAGCGGUAAAAAUGCGGUGCUCAACGCCGUACAGCCGUUGAAACUGGCAGUCUUGAGUACAGUAGAGGUGGGCGGAAUUCGUGGUGUAGCGGUGAAAUGCUUAGAUAUCACGAAGAACUCCGAUUGCGAAGGCAGCCUGCUGGACUGUAACUGACGCUGAUGCUCGAAAGUGUGGGUAUCAAACAGG